rnacentral:rRNA from 1 species
GACAGAGGGUGCAAACGUUGCUCGGAAUUACUGGGCGUAAAGGGCGCGUAGGCGGCACAGCAAGUCGGGAGUGAAAGCCCGGGGCUCAACCCCGGAACUGCUUUCGAAACUGCUGAGCUAGAGUACAGAAGGGGCAACCGGAAUUCCCAGUGUAGCGGUGAAAUGCGUAGAUAUUGGGAAGAACACCUGAGGCGAAGGCGGGUUGCUGGGCUGAUACUGACGCUGAGGCGCGAAAGCCAGGGGAGCAAACGGG